UCUGACUUUGAAUUGCUCCUUUAUUGUAGAUAUUUCUAAGGCAACUGUCAGAGCACUCAUGCAGUACCCGGGCCAUGGAUAUCAAUGUGACGUGAAUGGGAACUUUAUCGUGACUGAGGGUACAUCAGCCUAUGCAGCCAGAUGUAGAGCUUUAUUGUGAAGCCCCAAAGUAGCAUCUGUGAGUCUGCUGGCCCAUGGAAGUACUGCAGGUCUCUCAGACUAUGUGUAUGUAGAGGCUGCUCCUGAUUCAGAUGGGGAAGAUGUCCCUUGUUUAAGGCCACAUAAUGAUAUAUCUGUGACCUCUUAUCCUUUCCCAGGUGUAGUCACUGGGCAUCACCCAUCCCAGUUUUACACGUUGUAACUCAAUCAAAUUCACUAAAGUUACUCUUCAUUUACACUAAUAUAAGCAAGGUCACAACCAGGUCUAUAAACUCUAUGUAUCUUGAUCAAGCCGCUUGGGCUCUUGGAAUCUAUAUGCGAUGGCAUAUUCUGGCUAAUAGAGUCUAAUGUAUAUUGAAACUGCUUGGGACAGAGACUAUACCUUCAAAGUCUGUGCAGUGCUUACUUUUGGCAUUCCACAACUAGUUAUUAUAUUUGGGGAUGUAUGGGGCCAAGCAGGUUCUCAUGGUCUAGCAGCGCCCUUCUGAAUAUGAGAUAAAUGAUUAUGUGGCCUGAAGAAUAUCAUCUCACACUUCUGCCUACUGGGAAAGAAAAUAUGUUCCUGGCAGGAGUCCAGACUUGCAGAGAUCAGGCUUCUCAUGACUGAGGACUGACGGUGCGGAUGGAGUCUCUCUUCACACAGAUCAUUGAUGCGGGGAGGAAAACAAAGUUCUGCCCAACCCAGUGUUUCUUCUAAGGAGGAAGAGGGGCCUGGGACGGCACAAAACAUGCCAGUAAGGAAAGCAAAAGGGUGUAUACUUCAGGCUGGAGAGUUUCAACCUACAUUAUUUUCAGGUUUCAGACAAUGCCUGUCUCACUGAGCAUCCAUUAGUGCCACCAGGUGCAGCAGCAGAGAAUCAGCAGAAAGCCAGGAGUGGAAGUACUAAAAUAUUGCAAGAAAACAUGAAGUUUCCAACCAAGGGACCCUAUUCUGUGAGGCAUUGAGCAUCUGUCUUCACUGGGCUCUGAAGACACUCAGCCCCUUCUAGGAGCUAGGGGUUCAGCAUCUUACAGGACCAAGUUGGAUGAGAAGGAAUUUGAACUGGGUUCUCCCAGCUCUGAGGUGAGCUCCCUAACCACUAAACUAAUUCUCUGUCUCUAUCCCUA
rnacentral:lncRNA from 1 species